rnacentral:tRNA from 1 species
GGUGGCUCAGUGGUAGAGUGCUUGUUUUGCAUGCAUGAGGUCCUGGGUUCGAUUCCUCAGUACCA